rnacentral:rRNA from 1 species
UUAAGCGACUAAGCGUACACGGUGGAUGCCCUGGCAGUCAGAGGCGAUGAAGGACGUGCUAAUCUGCGAAAAGCGUCGGUAAGGUGAUAUGAACCGUUAUAGCCGGCGAUGUCCGAAUGGGGAAACCCAGUGCAAUUCGUUGCACUAUCGUUAACUGAAUACAUAGGUUAACGAGGCGAACCGGGGGAACUGAAACAUCUAAGUACCCCGAGGAAAAGAAAUCAACCGAGAUUCCCCCAGUAGCGGCGAGCGAACGGGGAGCAGCCCAGAGUCUGAAUCAGCUUGUGUGUUAGUGGAACGGUCUGGAAAGUCCGACGGUACAGGGUGAUAGUCCCGUACACCAAAAUGCACAGGCUGUGAACUCGAAGAGUAGGGCGGGACACGUGGUAUCCUGUCUGAAUAUGGGGGGACCAUCCUCCAAGGCUAAAUACUCCUGACUGACCGAUAGUGAACCAGUACCGUGAGGGAAAGGCGAAAAGAACCCCGGCGAGGGGAGUGAAAAAGAACCUGAAACCGUGUACGUACAAGCAGUGGGAGCACCUUCGGGUGUGACUGCGUACCUUUUGUAUAAUGGGUCAGCGACUUAUAUUCUGUAGCAAGGUUAACCGUAUAGGGGAGCCGCAGGGAAACCGAGUCUUAACUGGGCGUUAAGUUGCAGGGUAUAGACCCGAAACCCGGUGAUCUAGCCAUGGGCAGGUUGAAGGUUGGGUAACACUAACUGGAGGACCGAACCGACUAAUGUUGAAAAAUUAGCGGAUGACUUGUGGCUGGGGGUGAAAGGCCAAUCAAACCGGGAGAUAGCUGGUUCUCCCCGAAAGCUAUUUAGGUAGCGCCUCGUGAACUCAUCUUCGGGGGUAGAGCACUGUUUCGGCUAGGGGGUCAUCCCGACUUACCAACCCGAUGCAAACUACGAAUACCGAAGAAUGUUAUCACGGGAGACACACGGCGGGUGCUAACGUCCGUCGUGAAGAGGGAAACAACCCAGACCGCCAGCUAAGGUCCCAAAGUCAUGGUUAAGUGGGAAACGAUGUGGGAAGGCACAGACAGCCAGGAUGUUGGCUUAGAAGCAGCCAUCAUUUAAAGAAAGCGUAAUAGCUCACUGGUCGAGUCGGCCUGCGCGGAAGAUGUAACGGGGCUAAACCAUGCACCGAAGCUGCGGCAGCGACACUAUGUGUUGUUGGGUAGGGGAGCGUUCUGUAAGCCUGCGAAGGUGUGCUGUGAGGCAUGCUGGAGGUAUCAGAAGUGCGAAUGCUGACAUAAGUAACGAUAAAGCGGGUGAAAAGCCCGCUCGCCGGAAGACCAAGGGUUCCUGUCCAACGUUAAUCGGGGCAGGGUGAGUCGACCCCUAAGGCGAGGCCGAAAGGCGUAGUCGAUGGGAAACAGGUUAAUAUUCCUGUACUUGGUGUUACUGCGAAGGGGGGACGGAGAAGGCUAUGUUAGCCGGGCGACGGUUGUCCCGGUUUAAGCAUGUAGGCUGAUUGUCCAGGCAAAUCCGGAUAAUCAAGGCUGAGGUGUGAUGACGAGGCACUACGGUGCUGAAGUAACAAAUGCCCUGCUUCCAGGAAAAGCCUCUAAGCAUCAGGUAACAUCAAAUCGUACCCCAAACCGACACAGGUGGUCAGGUAGAGAAUACCAAGGCGCUUGAGAGAACUCGGGUGAAGGAACUAGGCAAAAUGGUGCCGUAACUUCGGGAGAAGGCACGCUGGUGUGUAGGUGAAGUCCCUGCGGAUGGAGCUGAGACCAGUCGAAGAUACCAGCUGGCUGCAACUGUUUAUUAAAAAACACAGCACUGUGCAAACACGAAAGUGGACGUAUACGGUGUGACGCCUGCCCGGUGCCGGAAGGUUAAUUGAUGGGGUUAUCCGUAAGGAGAAGCUCUUGAUCGAAGCCCCGGUAAACGGCGGCCGUAACUAUAACGGUCCUAAGGUAGCGAAAUUCCUUGUCGGGUAAGUUCCGACCUGCACGAAUGGCGUAAUGAUGGCCAGGCUGUCUCCACCCGAGACUCAGUGAAAUUGAACUCGCUGUGAAGAUGCAGUGUACCCGCGGCAAGACGGAAAGACCCCGUGAACCUUUACUAUAGCUUGACACUGAACAUUGAGCCUUGAUGUGUAGGAUAGGUGGGAGGCUUUGAAGCGUGGACGCCAGUCUGCGUGGAGCCAACCUUGAAAUACCACCCUUUAAUGUUUGAUGUUCUAACGUUGGCCCCUUACCGGGGUUGCGGACAGUGUCUGGUGGGUAGUUUGACUGGGGCGGUCUCCUCCCAAAGCGUAACGGAGGAGCACGAAGGUUAGCUAAUCCUGGUCGGACAUCAGGAGGUUAGUGCAAUGGCAUAAGCUAGCUUGACUGCGAGCGUGACGGCGCGAGCAGGUGCGAAAGCAGGUCAUAGUGAUCCGGUGGUUCUGAAUGGAAGGGCCAUCGCUCAACGGAUAAAAGGUACUCCGGGGAUAACAGGCUGAUACCGCCCAAGAGUUCAUAUCGACGGCGGUGUUUGGCACCUCGAUGUCGGCUCAUCACAUCCUGGGGCUGAAGUAGGUCCCAAGGGUAUGGCUGUUCGCCAUUUAAAGUGGUACGCGAGCUGGGUUUAGAACGUCGUGAGACAGUUCGGUCCCUAUCUGCCGUGGGCGCUGGAGAAUUGAGGGGGGCUGCUCCUAGUACGAGAGGACCGGAGUGGACGCAUCACUGGUGUUCGGGUUGUCAUGCCAAUGGCACUGCCCGGUAGCUAAAUGCGGAAGAGAUAAGUGCUGAAAGCAUCUAAGCACGAAACUUGCCCCGAGAUGAGUUCUCCCUGAGACUUUAAGUCUCCUGAAGGAACGUUAAAGACGAUGACGUUGAUAGGCCGGGUGUGUAAGCGCAGCGAUGCGUUGAGCUAACCGGUACUAAUGAACCGUGAGGCUUAACCUU